GUUAGACACAGCAUGGCUGCCCGCGGCCUCUCAUGAACCAGGAUUCUGUCCACCUACAUUUUAGGGUGUAUUCUCCAGCUGGCUUCUGAAUGAUCAUAUUCACUGAUCAUGUCUUCAUGGUGGUGGUUGGGUACCAUUAGCUGUUAGACAGGGAUGGGGCCACAGCCUUUUGUUAGAAGGUCUGGGGGAGAGAGUCCAGAUAGGCUGAACAUUUCAGCCCAGCAAGGUGAGAGGCACUGUGUGGGAAACAGCAAGGUUUGCAGGAUACCCAAGCUGGGCUACCCCGUGGAGGAUGUAGAGACAAGAGCAGGUUGUUGAGGGUCAGAUGAGCCAGGCAGGAGCUUUAGGCACUGUUACAGAAGAAACUGAAUUAUCAAAGCCACUAAGGGUAGGUGGGUGGCAGUGACAUCCUUAUAAAACCUGUCCUUCUUCUCUGGCCCCAUCCCUGUCUAACAGCUAAUGGUACACAGAGGAUAUAUACGGUCAGUGAACAUAAUCCUUCAGAAGCAAGCUGGUGAAUACACCCUAAAAUGACAGGGACUGAGAUGACAGCCAUCCCCACCGACCAAUCCUCUUUCCCUGGUUGUGUGUAGCCCUGAGCCCUCAGAUCUGUGGGUGGUUGGUUUCAGAUCAGCACUGGGUCGUCUAUCAUGCAUCCACUCUACCCAGGACAGAACACGUGAAUGUGAUCUAAAGGCCACUUUGUUUUCUGCAAGGCAGAACUCUAUUCUAAUCUACCGUUCAGAAGCAUGGCAGCACAGCAUCUGCAAAAACAUCUGCUGGGAAUGUUAUGUAUCUUACAAGUGCUAAGGAUGGUUACAAAGUUUCAUGUAAGGACUUGGCCAGAAAAGGCUGGCAAAGCCUGGGAACAUGGGGGAAGCCUGUGUUUGUGUUCUGGGUAGGGAGAGGUUCCCUUCAGGGUAGAGGGAGGCUGGGAUCUCAAAAGCCGUUUCCUGCUGAUGCUGCCUUCUGCCAGUUUGGUACUUUCCCAAAGCAGGUCUCUAAGACUGCUAGGUACUUGUUUUUAAUUCCUUUCACCACCCCAUAUGUAGCUCAGCUCUGGACAUAAAGACUUCUGAAGCUCACAAAAGAAUCCAGCUGGUUCCCAAUACCUCCUGCUUAGGGGACCAAUCUGGAUCUUUUUCAGACACCCAGAUGGAACCUACCUAGCCAACUCCCCAAUCGCCACUUGGUGGGUCCCAUACUUCAGGUUCAGCAACGCUGUACCCUGUUGAGGCUGGGGAGUGGCACAUCAGCACCCAGCAUGGUGCUCUGCAGCCCACUGGGUCGUUAGAAGAGACAAGAUGAGCCCCAGAUGCUAGAGGAAGAAGGCAGAGAGUCACACCCCCCUCUGAGACAGAUAAACACAGGGAAGUGUGUGAGUCAAUGGGCUAUCAGAAGUUGUCUUGCUGGCUCUGUAUGAACAGGGAGGUUGGUGACAUUAGGGGUCUUGGUAAUGAGGAGAAAGAGAGUGCACUUUGAUCUGAAGUAUGGCCAGUGGAUUUGCCAGCUUCUUGAGGGACAGAAGAUCAUCAGAAGUAAUGGGAAAAUGGUAAUAAAUUAUAUAAGCUUGGAGCUUUGAGUACUUUUGCGGAAUAUAAUUGAGUGUUUUCCCUAGAAUUUCAUUCAAAGCAACCAUUGACACCACCACACUGUUGAAGCCAAAGGAGAUACUAUUAAAGGAACACAUCCCCACUCACUGGACAGUCGAUGGUCGUCAUCAUUUAUGAGCUACUUGGCCUACCUUACCAAGAACGGCACCGUCCACAGUGAGCUGGGCUCUCUCAUAUCAGUCAUCAAUCAAGCAAAUGUCCCACUGACAAGCCCACAGGCCAAUCGGAUGGAGGCCGACCCUUGUUACAGGUUUCCUCUUUCCAGGACCUGACUCUAGAUUGCUGGCCGUUCUGUGGGACACGAAAAGGCCGAACAAGUGUGGAGUAGACGCCAAAGAUGGGUCUGAAUGAGAAACACCACGUAGAGCUGGAACAUUGGGAAGCUUUGACAGAAAAUCUUGCCCCCUUCACCAAGCUUUUGUGUGUUUCUCCUAACUGUGAUUGCCUCAGGAGAGCCUAGUCUCCCAUGAGACGCUUGCCUGCUGCCGUGCACUUCCUUGAACUGGAGUCUGCAGUGUCCCUGGCCUCCGGGAUUUCACCCUUUGUCCUUCUCAGUAUAAUCCAGGAAUCUGCACUAUUGUGCAGGCAUUUGUCUGUUUACUUUAAUGAAGGCGACCAGGUUUGUAAUUGUCUAUUAAAUGGUCUAUUAAAUAGUGUCAUAGCUAGAGGGACCUCGGCAAAAAUAACCAGUUUUUUUUAGUGCUCCACAAAUCCCUCUUCACAUGUGUUUUUUGCAGCACUUUUGGAAAUGUAGCUUAGAGCAUUCUUUCUUGUUUUCUAAAGGAUCUCAUAGCCUAGAGCUAUUCUAGUGACUGCCUUUCCCCAGAAUUUGUCUUGGAUGCGUAAUUCCUCCUGCUUCUCACUGGAUACUCCUCCAGGAGUGUGUGCCCUCUUCUUGGUUGGCCUGAUGUCUUAGCCUUCUGGAUUUUGUUCCAUUUUCCUUUUCCUUAGCUACUCUUCAGCCAUAAGCUCACUUCCCAUCCUGGCUUCUUUACUCUGCCCUGUGUUUUGGCUUGCCUCCCUGCCACCUUAAACUGUGUGCCUCAUGUUUGGGUGGCCAUUCUCUCAGUGCUCCUGCUCAGAACAACUGUGCUGCCCCAGCUCUCAGCUGCAAGCAGCAAGUGUUCCUAGAGAACAUUUUGCCUGGGUGAAAUCUAGCUGUAGGGGUUUGAAGGGAUCAUAAGGAGCUACUCUGGCCAGUCUCCCAUUCAAGGAAUGUUCAAGCAGAAAUUCAAGCAAUAAUUAGGGACUUGACACUUAUUGCUUGUGUCACUCGCUUAUCACAUUAAUCUUUCACACCAGAGGAUAAAAUAGAGAGGAUAAGACCAAAAUAGAUUUCUCGCUUCAACAGAAAGGUGAGCAUGCACAAAGGUGAGGUUCCGUGUGUACCAUGGAGUGGCUUCACAGAGUGCUGGGAAGAUGGAGGGCGAUCUAAGAGGCCCUGAAUUGUGCCUUGGGGGAGAGGACAAACUCAGCUAGAUGGAAUUAAGCUUUGAGGAAUUUGCUUUCUGGAUUUUUAAGAGAAGAUUGCAUUGUGGGACUCCAAGGCCGCCACUUCAGCUGAUUUCCAAGGCUGAGGGGCCCAGGGAGCUGUUUGCAAGGUUCCCGAGCUACCCUGUGUCUCCUCAUGGGCUCAAGGGAGCUGAGCAACAGAUCCAGGAUUCCUGCUGGAGCCUGGUACCUGCCUGGAGAGAUACCCAGAGAGCAAAGAUUAGAGUGAAGCCUGGCCCCAGGCUGCCUGUUCUUUGUUCUAUGUGCUAAUGGUGUCCUUGUAUGCUGCCUUCUCUCUGUUUUGAGUACCUCUCCUGUCUCUGGCAUAAAGGAUGGGCAAUUCCACACCCACAGCAUUGCAUAUUGAGCAAUUAAAUUGUGUUUGGCUUAUGA